rnacentral:lncRNA from 1 species
AUACUGGUUGAGGGGGAAGAAAUGUAACUCUGAUAGUUUGAUUCUUCAUUGAACAUUUUACUGUGUUAAUGCUCAUUAUUUAUACAUUGAUAUCAGGUAUACAGGAUAUUCUGUUUUACGUCAGUAAAAUCUACAGUCCAAGAACAACAAAAUCAGGUUCCAUUUCUCCCACCAUCUUCUGUCUACUUUCUGGAUAGAAAAGCACAAUUCACAGAUUUCCCCCCUGGGCUGAGCCACCAUCCCCUUGUUGCGACUAGUUUAGCCUCCACUAAGCACUGACCAGCCAGGCUUGCAAAGUGCUUAACCUUCCCAUUCCUCUGGUCUCCUGAUCUAGCAGUCCCCUUCCCCAAAGGUUAAGGCAGUUGGUUCACUACCAAGUGGUUUGGUUUCACCUUGGAUGAGCUCCACACAGGCACUGGGGUGAGAUGUUUGUGCAAAAUAACUGGCAGAAUAAUCAUGGGAUGUUGGACUUCAUUUGUCAACCAAGAAAGCUAUGGAGGACACAUUUCCUGUCUAGGCUACAGUGAGACAGUGAGAUGAAGGGAGGUGGUACAGUUAUAGCCAUGCUCUGUGGGUUCCCAUCGGAGUGAGAUGGUUCUCCACCUCCGCUUAUUGAGUACUUCUGGUCUUCAUGUCCGAGACAGCUGUGGCUCUGAGAACCUUGAUUCUUUUCCAAUCUUUAUCUUUACUCCUAUAGGAAAUGGCUUUAAUUACCUUCUUUUUCAGAAUUAAACAAGUGUUAAUUGAGAAAAAAAUUGCAUCUGAGGGAAGGGCAACAUUAUGUUACCGGCAAUUGAUGUUUUCCCAUUUUGGGACUGGGAAUGCUUCUUGAAGCUAGCAGUUUGUAUUAGGAUAGCAGCUCUCCUUUCUAAGCUAACUAACUCUCCUUUGGUUUUUCUUCAUUGCCUAUGAGCUCAUGGAUGAAUUCUCUCCUCUUGCGUUAUUUGCACAGGCUGACUGACAGGCAUGUUUAGGGGACUGGACUUCCCAGGGUUAUCUUGGCAUCUUUAAGAGGGAAUGGAACAGCCUGAGUCCUAAACUUUUUAGAGGUCAAGUGACCUCUGUUCUUUGGUUAAUGAAGUACUUUUGCCUUCUUGUCUCCAGUUUGGUACUACUUGAACAGAAAAAGGUGGCAAAAUGGAAAUCUGCUUCCUUUGUUCUUUUCAUGUAGGUGAUUCGUUUUGUCUUGUAAUCUUAAGAUUGUUCUUUCCCCUCAACUGUGCAGCAUCCAGCACUAGCUGUAUAGUACCUCACAGUGUCCCCUGAAAACUGUAAAUUGAAAGUGAGCAUAAAGAAUGUGUUUAGUUAAACAUAGUGGCACAAACCUGUAAUCAUGGCAUUUGGCAGGUGGAUGUACAAGAGGCUAGCCUGGGCUACAUAUCUCAUUCUCCUGGCCCCUUCCCCUAUGGACACACACACAUUCACACACACAUAUAUAUGGUUUCUGUCGAGGAGUGGUGGCAUACACCUAUAAUCCCAGCAUUCAGGAGGCAAAGGCAGGAAGGUUGCUACAAGUUCAAGGCUAGCCUGAUCUACAUGAAAUGCUGCCUCAAAAAAAGAAAAAAAAGAAAAGGAAGAAAAGAAAGAAAAAAGAAAGUAAGAAAAAAAAUAACUUCUUUUCAAAUAAAUAAAUAAAUAAACAAACAAACAAAUAACUUUGAAGCCAAUAGAGUAGAGAGGAAAAAAAGCAGGAAUGAGUUGGGGUCAAACUGUCUCUCAGAGCAAACCCUAGGAAGGCAGCAUUUUGGAGAGUGGGCCCUUGCAGUUGGAGCCUUGUCACUGUGGCUCUAUCCUUGCAGAGAAGCAGUGAGAAAAACACUGAGUCUGCCAUGCCUGUUUCCAUCACCUCUGCCCACUGGGCCUCAGUCCAUGCAGACCAGUGGCAAAGCCCCACAUACAAUGUGGAGAUAAGCAGUCAUUUUUUCAGGAGACUUUGAAAAUAGAGCUGUAUAAUACAUAUUUUUACAAGCAAGAAGCUGUUGUCAAGAUUUUUUUCUGUUUUACAUAUCAGAGUUCAUAAUUUUACAAUACAAAGGAGUUAACCAUCAAAAGAAAAAUAAAUGCAAAUUUCCCCCCUAAAAAAAAAAAAAAA